rnacentral:misc_RNA from 1 species
CUCUUUCUCUCUCUCUCUCUCCAUUAAUCUAGAUACAAACAUGCAUAAGUUUACCGACUCUCUACCUCUCCAUAAAUUUCUCUCUAGAUCUUUCCCUGCCACUGCCAUAAGAAAACUCCUGUGCUAGACCGAGAUAUGCAGCCUAUAUAUAACUGAGCUCAUUGCAUGUUGAGAGUGUACUGAGAGUUGGUGAGCACAAGUGGAAAAGGUUAGAAAUACUUGGAUGUGAGUGUGUGAGAGUUCCUAAUGACUAAGUAAGUG